rnacentral:tRNA from 1 species
CCGGAGGGUGCGGGGCGGCGCGGCGUCGGCCGCUCCGGGCGGCCGGGAUCGCCGGGACGACUGCGUCGUGGUCACGUACGGUCUCCGGC